UACGAAGGGGGCUAGCGUUACUCGGAUUGACUGGGCGUAAAGGGCGCGUAGGCGGCUUGUACAGUCAGACGUGAAAUUCCUGGGCUCAACCUGGGGGCUGCGUUUGAUACGUGCGGGCUUGAGUUCGGAAGAGGGUCGUGGAAUUCCCAGUGUAGAGGUGAAAUUCGUAGAUAUUGGGAAGAACACCGGUGGCGAAGGCGGCGACCUGGUCCAUUACUGACGCUGAGGCGCGACAGCGUGGGGAGCAAACAGG
rnacentral:rRNA from 1 species